rnacentral:rRNA from 1 species
AAUUCGAAGCAACGCGAAGAACUACCAGGCCUUGACAUGCAGAGAACUUUCAGAGAUGGAUUGGUGCCUUCGGGAACUCUGACACAGGUGCUGCAUGGCUGUCGUCAGCUCGUGCGUGAGAUGUUGGGUUAAGUCCGUAACGAGCGCAACCCUUGUCUUUAGUUACCAGCACGUUAUGGUGGGCACUCUAAGGAGACUGCCGGUGACAAACCGGAGGAAGGUGGGGAUGACGUCAAGUCAUCAUGGCCCUUACGGCCUGGGCUACACACGUGCUACAAUGGUCGGUACAAAGGGUUGCCAAGCCGCGAGGUGGAGCUAAUCCCAUAAAACCGAUCGUAGUCCGGAUCGCAGUCUGCAACUCGACUGCGUGAAGUCGGAAUCGCUAGUAAUCGUGAAUCAGAAUGUCACGGUGAAUACGUUCCCGGGCCUU